AUACAGAGAGUGCAAGCGUUAAUCGGAAUAACUGGGCGUAAAGCGCACGUAGGUGGAUAUUUAAGUCGGAUGUGAAAGCCCUAGGCUUAACCUAGGAACUGCAUCCGAUACUGGAUGUCUUGAGUAUAGUAGAGGGAAGUGGAAUUUCCGGUGUAGCGGUGAAAUGCGUAGAUAUCGGAAAGAACACCAGUGGCGAAGGCGGCUUCCUGGACUAAUACUGACACUGAGGUGCGAAAGCGUGGGGAGCAAACAGGAUUAGAUACCCCGGUAGUCC
rnacentral:rRNA from 1 species